UACGGAGGAUGCGAGCGUUAUCCGGAUUUAUUGGGUUUAAAGGGUGCGUAGGCGGGCUGUUAAGUCAGCGGUCAAAUGUCCGGGCUCAACCCGGGCCGGCCGUUGAAACUGGGGAUCUUGAGUGGGCGAGAAGUAUGCGGAAUGCGUGGUGUAGCGGUGAAAUGCAUAGAUAUCGCGCAGAACUCCGAUUGCGAAGGCAGCAUGCCGGCUCCACACUGACGCUGAGGCACGAAAGCGUGGGUAUCGAACAGG
rnacentral:rRNA from 1 species